rnacentral:rRNA from 1 species
CAAUAGCGUAUAUUAAAGUUGUUGCAGUUAAAAAGCUCGUAGUUGAACUUCAGGCUUGGCGGGGUGGUCUGCCUAACGGUAUGUACUAUCCGGCUGAGCCUUACCUCCUGGUGAGCCUGCAUGUCGUUUAUUCGGUGUGUAGGGGAACCAGGAAUUUUACUUUGAAAAAAUUAGAGUGUUCAAAGCAGGCAUAUGCCCGAAUACAUUAGCAUGGAAUAAUAGAAUAGGACGUGCGGUUCUAUUUUGUUGGUUUCUAGGGUCGCCGUAAUGAUUAAUAGGGACGGUUGGGGGCAUUAGUAUUCAGUUGCUAGAGGUGAAAUUCUUAGAUUUACUGAAGACUAACUACUGCGAAAGCAUUUGCCAAGGACGUUUNCAUUAA